CAAAGUUUUGCACAGUAAUAAAUGAAUGAUUUGAAAAGGAUCUCUUAUAGUGAUGUCUAUUUCAAUCUGUCCUCUGUAAAGUUCUUCUUUACUGUCUGUAUAAUAAUGUCUGACUAACCGGCUCGGGUCUUGAUUUACUGUCUACCCCGCCCUGCCAUGAGAUGCAGUGCAUGUCAGUACACAGUCUGACAUUAUAAUUAUGAUGUCCUUCCCUGUUAUUAUCACCCGAACACUAUUUACAAAGCAGCGGAGGCGGAUCUCUCCGGGGAGAUUGAGUAGGUAAAAUAUCAUCUGGAGAGGAGGAAUAGGAGGAGGAGGCGGAUCUCUACGGGGAGAUUGAGUAGGUAAAAUAUCAUCUGGAGAGGAGGAAUAGGAGGAGGAGGAGGCGGAUCUCUACGGGGAGAUUGAGUAGGUAAAAUAUCAUCUGGAGACGAGGAAUAGGAGGAGGAGGCGGAUCUCUACGGGGAGAUUGAGUAGGUAAAAUAUAAUCUGGAGAGGAGGAAUAGGAGGAGGAGGCGGAUCUCUACGGGGAGAUUGAGUAGGUAAAAUAUCAUCUGGAGAGGAGGAAUAGGAGGAGGAGGCGGAUCUCUCCGGGGAGAUUGAGUAGGUAAAAUAUCAUCUGGAGAGGAGGAAUAGGAGGAGGAGGCGGAUCUCUACGGGGAGAUUGAGUAGGUAAAAUAUCAUCUGGAGAGGAGGAAUAGGAGGAGGAGGCGGAUCUCUACGGGGAGAUUGAGUAGGUAAAAUAUCAUCUGGAGAGGAGGAAUAGGAGGAGGAGGCGGAUCUCUCCGGGGAGAUUGAGUAGGUAAAAUAUCAUCAGGAGAGGAGGAAUAGGAGGAGGAGGCGGAUCUCUCCGGGGAGAUUGAGUAGGUAAAAUAUCAUCUGGAGAGGAGGAAUAGGAGGAGGAGGCGGAUCUCUCCGGGGAGAUUGAGUAGGUAAAAUAUCAUCUGGAGAGGAGGAAUAGGAGGAGGAGGCGGAUCUCUCCGGGGAGAUUGAGUAGGUAAAAUAUCAUCUGGAGAGGAGGAAUAGGAGGAGGAGGCGGAUCUCUCCGGGGAGAUUGAGUAGGUAAAAUAUCAUCAGGAGAGGAGGAAUAGGAGGAGGAGGCGGAUCUCUACGGGGAGAUUGAGUAGGUAAAAUAUCAUCUGGAGAGGAGGAAUAGGAGGAGGAGGCGGAUCUCUACGGGGAGAUUGAGUAGGUAAAAUAUCAUCCAGAGAGGAGGAAUAGGAGGAGGAGGCGGAUCUCUACGGGGAGAUUGAGUAGGUAAAAUAUCAUCCAGAGAGGAGGAAUAGGAGGAGGAGGCGGAUCUCUCCGGGGAGAUUCUGUAGGUAAAAUAUCAUCUGGAGAGGAGGAAUAGGAGGAGGAGGCGGAUCUCUACGGGGAGAUUGAGUAGGUAAAAUAUAAUCCAGAGAGGAGGAAUAGGAGGAGGAGGCGGAUCUCUACGGGGAGAUUGAGUAGGUAAAAUAUCAUCUGGAGAGGAGGAAUAGGAGGAGGAGGCGGAUCUCUACGGGGAGAUUGAGUAGGUAAAAUAUCAUCCAGAGAGGAGGAAUAGGAGGAGGAGGCGGAUCUCUCCGGGGAGAUUCUGUAGGUAAAAUAUCAUCUGGAGACGAGGAAUAGGAGGAGGAGGCGGAUCUCUCCGGGGAGAUUGAGUAGGUAAAAUAUCAUCUGGAGAGGAGGAAUAGGAGGAGGAGGCGGAUCUCUACGGGGAGAUUGAGUAGGUAAAAUAUCAUCUGGAGAGGAGGAAUAGGAGGAGGAGGCGGAUCUUUCCGGGGAGAUUGAGUAGGUAAAAUAUCAUCUGGAGAGGAGGAAUAGGAGGAGGAGGCGGAUCUCUACGGGGAGAUUGAGUAGGUAAAAUAUCAUCUGGAGAGGAGGAAUAGGAGGAGGAGGGAAUGCAACAGGCUGCAAUGGCUACACUCUCUUCCCUGGCAGAGAGGACAGGCCGAGUUGAUGUAGGCCUACCCCAAACGUUAGAUUGGUUUUUCAGGCGUUUUAAUACCCUAUGGACCAGGAGUUCUUCUGACCACAUGACCUAACCAGGAUAAACUCUUGGGUCUAGACCCUGGUUAUAUCCUACAACUAGGCCUUCUUCAACUUCUAAUCAAGCUGGGAGCCUGAGUAACCUGGGCCCAGAGUAACAGGCUCAGUUCACAUGGUCAGAAAUAACUCCUCCUAGUGCUAGGCAUACUGUGAGAGAUGAUGUUGCUGUGGAUAGUGGAUGUCACAAGUGAUUUCCAAACAACUGUUGGGUAUCAGCGAUUUAGAAGUGUUGUUUGUCUUUUGCAAGUAAGAUUGAGGGAUACAAACAAUGUCAACAUCUCUCCUAAUUGCAGCCCUUGCUGAUGGGAGAUUCUCCUUAAUAUUUCAGCUGAAUAUACUUUGAAGCGUUUGAUUGAGCCUGUUUAGAGUGCAUGCCACAUGGAUGGGGUGUGCACUUUUGGGACUAUCCCAAUGGUUCCAUUUUAAAAGUAACAAUUCUAUUUGAACUCCAGGUCUGCCACACCACAGAGUAGUGAUAACUUCAUGACCUGUUUCCCUUUGAGUUAUUAUUGAGUUUAGUUUGUCAGAGGUCCACACUCCGGACCAGGUUGGGUAAAGGGCAAGCUUCACACUGUUAGUAUUUGGUUGGGUUUGUCAGAGGUCCACACUCCGGACUAGGUUGGGUAAAGGGCAAGCUUCGCACUGUUAGUAUUUGGUUGGGUUUGUAAGAGGUCCACACUCCGGACUAGGUUGGGUAAAGGGCAAGCUUCGCACUGUUAGUAUUUGGUUGGGUUUGUCAGAGGUCCACACUCCGGACUAGGUUGGGUAAAGGGCAAGCUUCGCACUGUUAGUAUUUGGUUGGGUUUGUCAGAGGUCCACACUCCGGACUAGGUUGGGUAAAGGGCAAGCUUCGCACUGUUAGUAUUUGGUUGGGUUUGUCAGAGGUCCACACUCCGGACUAGGUUGGGUAAAGGGCAAGCUUCGCACUGUUAGUAUUUGGUUGGGUUUGUCAGAGGUCCACACUCCGGACCAGGUUGGGUAAAGGGCGAGCUUCACACUGUUAGUAUUUGGUUGGGUUUGGUGUUGUUUAACAAAGUUGUCACAAACACAUGCCGAUUUAGACUUGUUUAGCUCACAAAGUAUUUUUUAUUCUCUGUUGUCUGCCGAUGCCAAGGGUUGUGUCAAAAACAAAAGCAGUGGGGGGCUAAAAUGUGGAUACAGUAAAUGGAAAAACACAUCUUGGCAUUGGUCAAAAAAUUUGUGCUGUGCUGCUUGGAAGUUGUGCUGCCUUCAAGCACAGAAUGAGAGAAGGAGGAGGAGAAGAGGGAGCAGCAGCAAUAGAGAAAGAGGAGGAGAAGAGGGAGCAGCAGCAAUAGAGAAAGAGGAGGAGAAGAGGGAGAGGCAGCGAUAGAGAAAGAGGAGGAGAAGAGGGAGAGGCAGCGAUAGAGAAAGAGGAGGAGAAGAGGGAGAGGCAGCGAUAGAGGAGGAGGAGGAGGAGAAGUGGGAGAGGCAGCAAUAGAGGAGGAGAAGAGGGAGAGGCAGCAAUAGAGAAAGAGGAGGAGAAGAGGGAGAGGCAGCGAUAGAGAAAGAGGAGGAGAAGAGGGAGAGGCAGCGAUAGAGGAGGAGGAGGAGGAGGAGGAGAAGUGGGAGAGGCAGCAAUAGAGGAGGAGAAGAGGGAGAGGCAGCAAUAGAGAAAGAGGAGGAGAAGAGGGAGAGGCAGCAAUAGAGAAAGAGGAGGAGAAGAGGGAGAGGCAGCAAUAGAGAAAGAGGAGGAGAAGAGGGAGAGGCAGCGAUAGAGAAAGAGGAGGAGAAGAGGGAGAGGCAGCGAUAGAGGAGGAGGAGGAGGAGGAGAAGUGGGAGAGGCAGCAAUAGAGGAGGAGAAGAGGGAGAGGCAGCAAUAGAGAAAGAGGAGGAGAAGAGGGAGAGGCAGCGAUAGAGAAAGAGGAGGAGAAGAGGGAGAGGCAGCGAUAGAGAAAGAGGAGGAGAAGAGGGAGAGGCAGCGAUAGAGGAGGAGGAGGAGGAGAAGUGGGAGAGGCAGCAAUAGAGGAGGAGAAGAGGGAGAGGCAGCAAUAGAGAAAGAGGAGGAGAAGAGGGAGAGGCAGCAAUAGAGGAGGAGAAGAGGGAGAGGCAGCGAUAGAGAAAGAGGAGGAGAAGAGGGAGAGGCAGCAAUAGGAGGAGAAGAGGGAGAGGCAGCGAUAGAGAAAGAGGAGGAGGAGAAGAGGGAGAGGCAGCGAUAGAGGAGGAGGAGGAGGAGGAGGAGAAGUGGGAGAGGCAGCAAUAGAGGAGGAGAAGAGGGAGAGGCAGCAAUAGAGAAAGAGGAGGAGAAGAGGGAGAGGCAGCAAUAGAGAAAGAGGAGGAGAAGAGGGAGAGGCAGCGAUAGAGGAGGAGGAGGAGGAGGAGAAGUGGGAGAGGCAGCAAUAGAGGAGGAGAAGAGGGAGAGGCAGCAAUAGAGAAAGAGGAGGAGAAGAGGGAGAGGCAACAAUAGAGGAGGAGAAGAGGGAGAGGCAGCGAUAGAGAAAGAGGAGGAGGAGAAGAGGGAGAGGCAGCGAUAGAGAAAGAGGAGGAGGAGAAGAGGGAGAGGCAGCGAUAGAGAAAGAGGAGGAGAAGAGGGAGAGGCAGCAAUAGAGAAAGAGGAGGAGAAGAGGGAGAGGCAGCGAUAGAGGAGGAGGAGAAGAGGGAGCG